AGCUAAUAAGCUUAAAAGCAUAUGUUUUGAAAACAUAAGAUAGAAUUUAUAACAUUCUAUUAGCUU
rnacentral:tRNA from 1 species